rnacentral:rRNA from 1 species
UACAGAGGUGGCAAGCGUUGUUCGGAAUUACUGGGCGUAAAGGGCGCGUAGGCGGCCUUCUAAGUCAGACGUGAAAUCCCCCGGCUUAACCUGGGAACUGCGUCUGAUGCUGGGAGGCUUGAGUAUGGGAGAGGGAUGUAGAAUUCCAGGUGUAGCGGUGAAAUGCGUAGAUAUCUGGAGGAAUACCGGUGGCGAAGGCGGGACUCUGGGCCGAUACUGACGCUGAGGAGCGAAAGCGUGGGGAGCGAACAGG